rnacentral:rRNA from 1 species
ACCUAGUCCCACCACACCCCCAAGGGUACUCAGCAGUGAUAAACAUUGUCUAUAAGCGCCAGCUUGACCCAGUUAUAAAGAAGAGGGCCGGCCAACUUGGUGCCAGGCGCCGCGGCUAGACCAACUGGACUCAAAUUGAUAAUUCCCGGCGUUAAGCGUGAUUAAAGCCAUACACCAAUUAGAGUUAAACCUAUGUUGAGCAGUGAAAAGCACACGAUAGGGAAACCCAGAAACGAAAGUUACUCUAAUCUCUGCUUGAAUACACGACAGCUAGAAUACAAACUGGGAUUAGAUACCCCACUAUGUCUAGCCGUAAACUAUUAACCCACACCAACCCCGCGCCAGGGAACUACGAGCCUUAGCUUAAAACCCAAAGGACUUGACGGUGUCCCACCCAACUAGAGGAGCCUGUUCUAUAAUCGAUAACCCCCGCUUCACCCAACCCCCCCUUGCUUUAUCAGCCUGUAUACCUCCGUCGUAAACCCGCCGUAUGAAUGUACUUAAGCGGAUUCAAUGGUCUCCCACCAACACGCCAGGUCAAGGUGCAGCCAAUGGAGGUGGUAAGUAAUGGGCUACAAUUUCUAAUCUAGAACAAACGAAGUACUGCAUGAAACACAGUCAUGAAGGAGGAUUUAGUAGUAAAAAGAAAGUAGCGUGUUCUUUUUAACACGGCCCUGGGACGUGUACACA